rnacentral:rRNA from 1 species
UACGUAGGGGGCAAGCGUUAUCCGGAUUUACUGGGUGUAAAGGGAGCGUAGACGGCUGUGCAAGUCUGAAGUGAAAGGCAAGGGCUCAACCUUUGGACUGCUUUGGAAACUGUGCAGCUAGAGUGUCGGAGAGGCAAGUGGAAUUCCUAGUGUAGCGGUGAAGUGCGUAGAUAUUAGGAGGAACACCAGUGGCGAAGGCGGCUUGCUGGACGAUGACUGACGUUGAGGCUCGAAAGCGUGGGGAGCAAACAGG